CCAGACUCCUACGGGAGGCAGCAGUGGGGAAUAUUGCACAAUGGGGGAAACCCUGAUGCAGCGACGCCGCGUGAGCGAUGAAGUAUUUCGGUAUGUAAAGCUCUAUCAGCAGGGAAGAAAAUGACGGUACCUGACUAAGAAGCCCCGGCUAACUACGUGCCAGCAGCCGCGGUAAUACGUAGGUGGCAAGCGUUGUCCGGAUUUACUGGGUGUAAAGGGCGUGCAGCCGGGCUGACAAGUCAGAUGUGAAAUCCUGCGGCUCAACCGCGGAACUGCAUUUGAAACUGUCAGUCUUGGGUACCGGAGAGGUCAUCGGAAUUCCUUGUGUAGCGGUGAAAUGCGUAGAUAUAAGGAAGAACACCAGUGGCGAAGGCGGAUGACUGGACGGCAACUGACGGUGAGGCGCGAAAGCGUGGGGAGCAAACAGGAUUAGAUACCCCGGUAAA
rnacentral:rRNA from 1 species